CGUUCAUCCAGCUUCGGAGGCUGUGGGAACAGUCCGAGUUUGAAGCCAGCUUGCUUUUGCUUUGCUUCCCACCGCCUCCCCCUUUCCGCUCCGCGUAAAGGCUUUUGGUUUUGUCUUAAAAGGCAUCUGAGAAACAACCACUCGGAAUAAACAAGGAGAGUGCGGAGGCGAAAUCACCCGAGCCUGCGGGAAGCCUGCGUUUCGGCAGCAUUGUAGAUGCCACAAAGGAGAUUCACGGAGAAAGUCUCCGAUGAACUUCUACGGCCGCUUUACAGUCUCGCGUCGUUUAUGGCAUGGAGUAAAGGAACCCGCGUGCACGCAGGGUCCAGUGGCGGAGCGGGAAAGCGGAGGGCUCUGUCUUUUGGAGCCAACAGUUUUUCAGGGGUCGUGACUACGAGGCAGCUCUCCGAGUCGGCUCCAAAGGGAGGGAGGAAGGAACGCAGGGAGGGUCACUACACUGAGGCUUUCCCACGGUCGCUCCACCACCUCCUUAACACCGGGAUAACGAAACACCCGUGGAGAGAGGUAUGA
rnacentral:lncRNA from 1 species